rnacentral:rRNA from 1 species
CUGGCGGCAGGCCUAACACAUGCAAGUCGAGCGGCAGCGGAAAGUAGCUUGCUACUUUGCCGGCGAGCGGCGGACGGGUGAGUAAUGUCUGGGAAACUGCCUGAUGGAGGGGGAUAACUACUGGAAACGGUAGCUAAUACCGCAUGACCUCGCAAGAGCAAAGUGGGGGACCUUCGGGCCUCACGCCAUCGGAUGUGCCCAGAUGGGAUUAGCUAGUAGGUGAGGUAAUGGCUCACCUAGGCGACGAUCCCUAGCUGGUCUGAGAGGAUGACCAGCCACACUGGAACUGAGACACGGUCCAGACUCCUACGGGAGGCAGCAGUGGGGAAUAUUGCACAAUGGGCGCAAGCCUGAUGCAGCCAUGCCGCGUGUGUGAAGAAGGCCUUCGGGUUGUAAAGCACUUUCAGCGAGGAGGAAGGCAGUCGUGUUAAUAGCACGAUUGAUUGACGUUACUCGCA